rnacentral:lncRNA from 1 species
CUUUCCUCCAGUAAUGCCUCAGAACAUCUGAAUCAACAAACUUCCAUCCCCUUGUGCCCCUAUCCGCUCUGGACAGCCAGACAGGCAGACACCAACCAGAUUACUUUCAGUCCACCUCCGGUGGGAGCAUUUAAUUCUCCCUGCACCCUGCUCAGCUGCCUUCGUGUCAGAGGAGGCGCAGUCCACCAGGGGCGCCCGGGGUGGGAAGGGAGCCAGCCUUUGGCUGCCAAGGGGUGCGGAUCCCCGAGGAUCUCGACCUGGCCCGCUGGGAUGGGUUCUGUCUCCUCCGUGCUGGCGCGGUCCCGCAACACCGUCGUGCAGCCGGGAUCGUCGCCGCCGCAUCAAGAAGUGCCGCUCGCUGCUCCCGCGUCUCUCAAAGACUCUAGAACCCAGCGUCGGGUACUCGGGCAUCAAGGCUCUUUCAGACCUUCCCCAGCCUGGGAACCGCCGCCGGCCAAGCACAGCCAGCAGGAGCUUCCAAAGUUGGAGAGCGCGGAGCUGUCCCCCGUGCGGAGGCGUUUGCCAGCUAUGUCCCAGUCCUCCCCCAGCGACAGCCCAGGAGAGACUGGCACUGGGAAGACAGAAGAGUUGAACACCCAGACAGACGCCACAGAAAAACAGCCAGCUGCAGGAGAACAAGGUAAGUAGGCCAAUGUUUCCAAGUUCUCCAGAUGUCCU